UUUUAGAAGACAUCUGAAGGCAGCCCUAUUUAGGGAAGUUUUUAAUGUCUGAUGUUUUAUUGUGUUUUUAGUAUUCUGUUGGAAGCCGCCCAGAGUGGCUGGGGAAACCCAGUCAGAUGGGCAGGGUAUAAAUAAUACAUUACAGUGGUACCUCAGGUUAAGAACUUAAUUCGUUCUGGAGGUCCGUUCUUAACCUGAAACCGUUCUUAACCUGAGGUACCACUUCAGCUAAUGGGGCCUCCCGCUGCCGCCGCCGCCACCACACGAUGUCUGUUCUCAUCCUGAAGCAAAGUUCUUAACCCAAGGUACUAUUUCUGGGUUAGCGGAGUCUGUAACCUGAAGCGUAUACUGUAACCCAAGGUACCACUGUAUUAUUAUUAUUAUUAUUAUUAUUAUUAUUAUUAUUAUUAUUCCCAUAAGGGGCAUCUGGUCAUUCACUGUGGAAACAGGAUGUUGAGCGAGAUGGGCCUCAUCCAGCAGGCUCCUCUUACGUUCUUGUUCAAGCCCUGGAACCCCAGAUACCAGCCACCUGCGAAACUCACCACCACCCCCAGCUCACCUGGCUGACGGAGCUAAAACGCAGAGCCCAGGACCCCUGAUCGCUUUCCUCCAUCGCCACAUCGCCCCGUACCCCGCCAGUCCUCCACCGUGGGCGUUCGCCUUUCCGUCGUCGCUCAGCUCUCUGGAACUCCGCCUUCCACCUCCCGAAGCAGGACGCCAGAAGACGCUGCCCCCUGGCCCUCUCCAACCACGCUAGAGUCAUGCGCCAUGUAGAAAAGCGGUCGGCUGCCGCGGACCAGGAAGUGAAAGCCCUGGAGAGGAGAGCCCGCUUGCGGUGUUGUUCUGCCUUCAGGUUUUGCACAAUCCUGGCCGACCAAAACGCAAAGCAUUUCGCCAGCAGCUGCCUCCGAUUCUGGGUGUGGCCAUAACCCAGAGGGAACGGCGCUUGCAUGUGAAGAUCUGUGGCAGCGAGAUCUUGCGAGUCACUGGGGAAAUGGCUGGGAGAAGGGGAGCCGUGAUGAGGAAGGUGCCCUGAGUCUUCAAUCGUCAACGACGAGGAGAUGCUAGCCUGGCUACCGUCCUCCGAGCUGCCUUCCUAUUCCCAGUCAUGAAAUGACAGAAGUAUUAAUUUUGUGCUUCUAAAUGCUGGUUUAUUUAAGAUUAUAUACAGAGAGAGUGAGUCUCUACUGCUACAGGAAGAGACCCACUAAAUAAUAAUAAUAAUAAUAAUAAUAAUAAUAAUAAUAAUUUAUUUAUGCCCCGCCCAUCUGGCUGAGUUUCCCCAACCACUCUGGGCG
rnacentral:lncRNA from 1 species